rnacentral:tRNA from 1 species
AGCCCCAUGGUGUAGUGGCCAAUCAUCGGGGAUUUUGGGUCCCUGGACCUCGGUUCAAAUCCGGGUGGGGCUA